rnacentral:rRNA from 1 species
GACGAACGCUGGCGGCGUGCUUAACACAUGCAAGUCGAACGGAAAGGCCCCUUUGGGGGUACUCGAGUGGCGAACGGGUGAGUAACACGUGAGUAACCUGCCCUUGACUUCGGGAUAACUUCAGGAAACUGGGGCUAAUACCGGAUAGGAAUCCUUGCUGCAUGGUGGGGGUUGGAAAGCUUCGGGGGUUUUGGAUGGACUCGCGGCAUAUCAGCUUGUUGGUGGGGUAGUGGCUUACCAAGGCUUUGACGGGUAGCCGGCCUGAGAGGGCGACCGGCCACAUUGGGACUGAGAUGCGGCCCAGACUCCUACGGGUGGCAGCAGUGGGGAAUAUUGCACAAUGGGCGGAAGCCUGAUGCAGCAGCGCCGCGGGCGGGAUGACGGCCUUCGGGUUGAAAACCACUUUCAGCAGGGGCGAAGCUUGUGGUGACGGUACCUGCAGAAGAAGCACCGGCUAACUACGUG